CUGGCUAUAACUUUAGGACAAAGAUGGGGCUGGGGUGAGUUCUAGGCUCAUAGCUAACAGAGUCACUACCAGUAUGAUUAGUCCGGGUCAAAAAUAUCACCAAUGGAAUGAUCAUCUGGUGAAUAAGUUAGCCGACCACAGGUAUGGUUCCUUAAUGCAAAAGGAAAUCUGGACAAACACCUUCAAACUUUUUUCUUAUAUACAUUAGGCAUAACUUAGAUAGUAACUGAUGAAUAGACUGAGAACAUGUAAAAUUUGAUCAUUGAACACAAAAAGCAGCCCAAGGGACCCAAACAGCCAAGGGGAAAUGGCGAACAGGUGGGCUUGACCAAGAAUGGUGUGGUGAGGCGAAGGCCCAACUUUGGACGGAUGCAACCAGCAUACACAUGGCCUCCAGAACCUGCAACCCAAAGCUGAAAUCUGCUAGUGAAAGCUGUCACAAGAUCGUUGGUCACUUUCAAGCUAAUGCCAGCCAAUGGUCAUUGCUGUCUAUGCCAGAAAACUCGACCACAGUUGUUGUAUUUGCAUAAAUGUAAGAUGCACUUGAGUUGAGCUUGUAGUGUGCUGAUAAUUUUGGUCAAGUACUUAUACUACUACAAACCAAAUCCAACUACUGAUAAGAUUAGAAUCUUCUAACAGGAAGGAGAAAAG
rnacentral:lncRNA from 1 species